UACGUAGGGGGCCAGCGUUGUCCGGAUUCAUUGGGCGUAAAGCGCGUGUAGGCGGCCAGGUAGGUCCGAUGUGAAAUCUGGAGGCUCAACCUCCAGCGGUCAUUGGAAACCAUCUGGCUAGAGUCCGGAAGAGGGGAGUGGAAUUCCUGGUGUAGCGGUGAAAUGCGCAGAUAUCAGGAAGAACACCAAUGGCGAAGGCAGCUCUCUGGGACGGUACUGACGCUGAGACGCGAAAGCGUGGGGAGCGAACAGG
rnacentral:rRNA from 1 species